CCCUAUGGGGUGCACCAGGAAUUCGGGGGUGUAGCUCAGCUGGGAGAGCGCCUGCCUUGCACGCAGGAGGCCAUCGGUUCGAACCCGUUCACCUCCACCAAGAUUUGGUGAAAAGUGAAAAGUGAAAAGUAAAAAGUAUGCGGAAUACUUUUCACAUUUAACGUUUUACUUUUUACUGAAAUGUUCUUUGACAAUUGCAUAGAGAUUUGUAGUAAGGCGUAUGACCGUGGCAGUGUAAAAAGCUGACACGGGAGUAUGUUCGGGUAGAUUGAUUCAAUUUCAGUAAUUUAUGGUCAAGCUACGAAGGGCGUACGGUGGAUGCCGAGGCAGAGGAAGGCGAUGAAGGACGUGGUAAGCUGCGAUAAGCUUCGGGGAGC
rnacentral:rRNA from 1 species